rnacentral:sRNA from 1 species
GUCAAUCACCCCUGCCUGAAGGCAGAGGCUUGAAGAAGCCCGAUUGACCAGCCUCAGUGAUCCGAAAGGAGAACUACGUUGCAGUUAGGUUACAAGACCCGCCCCGGGGUGCUUCCUCAGC